GACGAACGCCGGCGGCGUGCCUAAUACAUGCAAGUCGAGCGGACAGAAGGGAGCUUGCUCCCGGAAGUUAGCGGCGGACGGGUGAGUAACACGUGGGCAACCUACCCUGUAGAUCGGGAUAACAUCGAGAAAUCGGUGCUAAUACCGGAUAAUCAUUUGAAGUGCAUGCUUCGAAUGUAAAAGAUGGCUCCGGCUAUCACUACGGGAUGGGCCCGCGGCGCAUUAGCUAGUUGGUAAGGUAAUGGCUUACCAAGGCAACGAUGCGUAGCCGACCUGGGAGGGUGAUCGGCCACACUGGGACUGAGACACGGCCCAGACUCCUACGGGAGGCAGCAGUAGGGAAUCUUCCGCAAUGGACGAAAGUCUGACGGAGCAACGCCGCGUGAGUGAUGAAGGUUUUCGGAUCGUAAAGCUCUGUUGUUAGGGAAGAACAAGUGCCGUUUGAAUAAGGCGGCACCUUGACGGUACCUAACCAGAAAGCCACGGCUAACUACGUGCCAGCCGCCGCAGUAAGAC
rnacentral:rRNA from 1 species